GGAGAGGUGUCCGAGAGGCUGAAGGAAGCGGUUUGCUAAACCGUUAUACGCCUUUAAAAGCGUAUCGAGGGUUCGAAUCCCUCCCUCUCCGCCA
rnacentral:tRNA from 1 species